GCACCGGGCCUGGGAGAACAGGGAGGCUGGGAGGCGGAAUGGCGGAGCUGAAGGGCCAGGGAGGUGUGAGAGGAAGGCGGGGCCGGGGCCGUGGGCCGCACGGAGCGGGUUACGGUUGACAGUGGUCACAGGAGGCCGUGGAGCAGCCACGUGAGAGGAGUUUGAACUUAUGACUGAUGAGGCGGAGACCGAGGCUAACGACCACUUUUGCCUGUCCCUUACGGCCUUCCUUUGGUGUCUUCCCUUAGGCCUCGCAGCCUUGAUCUUAUCUCACAAGACAAUGCGCUACAAUCAAUCGAAUGACUAUGACCAGGCAGCCAGGACCUCCAAACAAGCCUACUACUUGGCUAUCUCAGGCAUUGUUGCGGGCAUCUUCACUGUCCCCCUCUUGUUUUUUGCAUUGUACUUACUUAAGAAAUAAUCCCCUUCCCAGCUCAUGAACAAACCACCAAAUAUAUACAACAGUGUAACUUA